UGCAGCUAGUGCUGCUACAUCAUCCUCCCUCCCCUGGAGAAAGAUGAUGCUGAAGCUGCAGGCUGGACAGUGCGGCGCAGGUCCCACGAUACGUGCUUGCUUGAAGCUGGGCGCAGUGGGAAAGAUAUCGAGAUGCGGCUGAGGAGGCGGCUCGAUCGUCAUGCUGUGCGUCAGGCUCGUUCGAAGAGUCGGAAGAAACUUCCAGCUGGGUGAAAUGCGCCAGAGAUGAAGGGUCUAGGUAGGCGGGCUGCAGCCUAUCGAUGGAAAUGUUGUCCUCGCGGCCAUUAAGCUGUACACGGUAGAACAAUUGGCGUAUCGGUGGAGAACUUGAAAGGGGCCGUCGAAAUGAGGCUGAAGAGGCUUACGACGGCAUCCCGGCGAAUAAAAACAUGUGUACAGCUUUCAAGCUCUGGGCUGAUGAAGGGAUGGCUACGAAGGCUUCGUCGGGUUCGGGAAGGGCAGAGCUGGGACAUUGUCAAACGGAGUUGGUGAAGGAAUGACGAUGGCUCGGCUCCUUCGGGGCGCACAGGAUGGAAGAAUUCUGACGACAAACGCAGUGACGUUCCGUAGACGAGUUCUGCGCUGGAGGCGCCGAUGUCUUGCUUGAGGGCCGUCCGAAUACCGAGCAACACUGUAGGAAGAGCGGCUAACCACUGGGUACGCUCACGCGCGCAGGAGAGGGAGGCCUUAAGGUGACGGUGAAAACACUCAACGAGCCCGUUUGCUUGGGGGUGGUAUGAGGUGCGUCCGGUUCGAGGUGUCCAAGUGCUCGUGACAGUUUAUGUUGCGUCGUGUACCUGCAAAGCGGGAAUUGUGGGAAAAUGUAAGCACGCGGCAGCAGUCUGCUGCUACCUGAACAAGGAAGAAGACGCCACAUGUACGGGCAACAACAAAAGAGGGGCAAGCCAAGCUCAAAGCCGGAGGCGUGACAUGACAAAGGGUAUCGCCGACUUAUUUCCGAGUACGUAUGUAUAAUGUGGACAAUGUGCUUUCCUUUAGGCAGGAGCUCGGGUGCAGACCUUUCAUAUUGUAUUUUUAGAGCUGAUGAGGCUACAGUCAUCUCUGCUGCAUCGUUGAUCAUUUGCCAAUGAUCUUUCUCUACUGAAUGCUGCUGCUGUACCCUGCUGCAUCGUUGAUCGUUGGCUAUUCUGUUAUUCUUCAGCAUUUUAUAUGUUUCAUCAACCAGUAUUGUACCGUGUACCUAGUACGUUGCCUCAAAACAAUGCUUUAUUGCUCUUGGUAAUAAACAGCUUGCAUCUGA